GAUGAAGAACGUAGCGAAAUGCGAUAAGUAAUGUGAAUUGCAGAAUUCAGUGAAUCAUCGAAUCUUUGAACGCACAUUGCGCCCGCUAGUAUUCUGGCGGGCAUGCCUGUCCGAGCGUCAUUUCAACCCUCAAGCCCCCGGGCUUGGUGUUGGGGAUCGGCGAGCCUCCGCGCCCGCCGUCCCCUAAAUCUAGUGGCGGUCUCGCUGUAGCUUCCUCUGCGUAGUAGCACACCUCGCACUGGGAAACAGCGCGGCCACGCCGUUAAGCCCCCAACUUCUGAACGUUUGACCUCGGAUCAGGUAGGUAUACCCGCUGAACUUAAGCAUAUCAAUAAGCGGAGGA
rnacentral:misc_RNA from 1 species